ensembl:lincRNA
CAUGCCAAUUAUGUUUCAAUAGAACGUUAAAAAUGACUUAAAGUCUGGAUCUAUUUUUUAAAGGAAAACAUAAAGUUUCGCAACCCUAUAUUGACUCCGCCAUGCCUUGGGAAAGGCAGCCCGCAUCAGUGGCAGGAAAUAUUGGUGGAGCGAGCUGGGACUUGCAGGUGACCAAGAAGGGGGAUCCCGGAACCGGAAUUGUCUCCCCUGGCGUUCCGGAAGUAGAAGCAGAGUCAUUGCUGGGUGGCGCCAGCCCUCAGACUCGCCUCUUUGCAGUAGGAAGAAGGCCUCCCCACAUAUCUUCCCACACUCAUCACCUUAAGCCAGACUCGGUGUCCAGUGAAUAUGACCAUCUCUUGCCCAUUUUCUAAUGAGUGUUUUCAUUAAUGAGUUAUAAGAAUGUGGUGGGUAAAUCUAUGGGCUUUGAACUAGUGAAUCAACUUGGUUUCAGAAUCUGGCACUGCUACUUACUAGUGAAUUUAAGCAAGUUAUUUCACCUCUCAGAGUGUCAGUUCCCUCAUGCAUACAAGGAAGAUAAAAAAUAAUGUAUACAAAAGUAUUGGAGUAAUUAAUACAUGGAGGACUACAUGUAAAGGGUUUAGCAUGAUCUCUGACAUAUUAAGCAUCCAAUAAAUAUUAGUUGCUUGCAGAAUUAUUAGUAAAAGAGAUUGUUUCUGAAAGCCAUUCCAAUUCUUAAAUUUUAUAAUACCACAUUUGAGGUCACCUGAAGUACGUGUAUAAAAUGUGUACAUUUUUGCGAUUUAUUUUUUCAAUUCCCAAAUUAGAGGCGUAGAGAUAUCCUAGCAAGGACUCCAAGUGUGUAGAUCUGUCAAAGAUAUGAACAUGAAAGAACAGCUUAUUUCAAUAAACCCCCUUUACAUACCUUGUGUGCUUGUUUUUAACAACAAUAAAAAUUGGAAAGAUGAUUAAGGAACUGAAAAACUAGAGGGUAAAUUCUACAGUUUCCUUAAUUUAAAGAGUAAUUGUUUUUAAUUCUGAUUCACCUAAGAAGAAGGCAUUUAACAUGUAGGGCUUUCUGUAUUUACAUGUAUUAUAUAUUAAAUCCUCACAAUUGUUUGCAGUCAUUAUUAUUAUUAUUAUUAUGCCCAUAUAAUAUGUUAAUGUGGAAACUGAGGCUCACAAAGCUUAUUAAAUUGCCCAAGUUCCUAAAAUUAAUAAAUGUAUUUUGGGUUUGAACCUGUCUUCCGACCGCAAAAUUCAUGAUAUUUCACCACACUGUUUUCAUUCAGCCUAACCUAGUCAGCCAUGACCACAUGGUGGUGUUUAAA